rnacentral:rRNA from 1 species
GACGUAGGUGGCAAGCGUUGUCCGGAAUUACUGGGUGUAAAGGGCGUGUAGACGGGGAUGCAAGUCAGAUGUGAAAUUCCAGGGCUCAACCCUGGCGCUGCAUCUGAAACUGUGUCUCUUGAGUGCUGGAGAGGAAAGCGGAAUUCCUAGUGUAGCGGUGAAAUGCGUAGAUAUUAGGAGGAACACCAGUGGCGAAGGCGGCUUUCUGGACAGUAACUGACGUUGAGGCGCGAAAGCGUGGGGAGCAAACAGG